rnacentral:lncRNA from 1 species
GCUGAGGACUGGCCUGGGGUUGCUUGUUGGCGACGUGCCUUCUGCCAUCCUUUCUUCUUGGCCUGAUGGCAGAGUCAGGACUGCCUGCCUGGGGACAUAAUUAGUAAAUGUGUCAUCUGCUGGCAGAUUACGAUGUAGUGCUAAACCUUUCUCUAGGUACGAUUCUGUCCCAGCGAUUCCUCCGCCUGGGCCAGGCGUCAGCCCUAAUGAAAGGCUGCAGGACCUGUCCACACCGUGUCUGUCUGUGACCUAAUGGGUGUGACGGGAGGCUGAUGAAAAAAUCAAUGUCUGUGCUGCCCUCGUCUGUGUCUCAGCACCUGCAGCAGCGUCUGGCCCAGGGCAGGCCUUCCAAUGCAUUUGUGGAGUAAGGGAAGGAAGCUGGGAAGCUCUGUCACUGGGCAUCGGAGCUGAAAGGAGGACAAGACCCUGAGGCUUGGAGGCUCCAGUGGAACUGGGAGGACUUGGGAGGCGGUGGGGCCUCCUGCUCUCUGCAGGUAUUUCCAGGCUCCCGGCCGCAGCUGUCUUGAGACUAUGGCCCCGAGGAGGCGGGAGAUGGAGGGUGAGAUUCUGG